rnacentral:misc_RNA from 1 species
AACCUUAUGGACCUGCGGGCGUAUACCUGCGGAAGGAUCAUUACAGAGUGUUUAACCCCCUAUAAAAUGGUGGGUCUAACCUCCCGUCCUUUGCUGGGUCCCCCUUCUGGAGGACUUUCAAAACUUUCUGCUUCGGCGGGGUAUACCCGCCGGAACACCCUCAAAAAAUUCUUGAUCAAAAUGGUUCGGUCCGAGAAACUUUUUGUGAAAAUUAGCGAAAAACUUUCAACAAUGGAUCUC